rnacentral:rRNA from 1 species
AUUAGAUACCCUGGUAGUCCACGCCGUGAACGAUGAGUGCUAGGUGUAGGGGGUAUCGACCCCUCCUGUGCCGCAGUUAACACAAUAAGCACUCCGCCUGGGGAGUACGGCCGCAAGGUUGAAACUCAAAGGAAUUGACGGGGGCCCGCACAAGCGGUGGAGCAUGUGGUUUAAUUCGACGCAACGCGAAGAACCUUACCAGGGCUUGACAUCCACAGAAUCCUGCGGAAACGUGGGAGUGCCCUUCGGGGAGCUGUGAGACAGGUGGUGCAUGGUUGUCGUCAGCUCGUGUCGUGAGAUGUUGGGUUAAGUCCCGCAACGAGCGCACCCCCUAUAUUUAGUUGCUAACAGGCAAGCUGAGCACUCUAGAUAGACUGCCGGUGAUAAACCGGAGGAAGGUGGGGAUGACGUCAAAUCAUCAUGCCCCUUAUGUUCUGGGCUACACACGUGCUACAAUGGCCGGUACAGACGGAAGCGAAGCCGCGAGGUGAAGCAAAUCCGAGAAAGCCGGUCUCAGUUCGGAUUGCAGGCUGCAACUCGCCUGCAUGAAGUCGGAAUCGCUAGUAAUCGCAGGUCAGCAUACUGCGGUGAAUACGUUCCCGGG